rnacentral:lncRNA from 1 species
CCUCGUCCAAGCUGGCAUGAUUUUAAAAUGGUAGAGGAGAGGAGAGAGAGGUUUAAUGGGGACAAUAGCAGCCAACGUGAUUGGCACAGUGACUACGGCUGUCGCUAUCAGGUUGUUAGAAAGGAGGCCGGUUUGACGAGGAACAGUGCUAUUGGAGAGGAGGCUGGCCUGACGAGGAACAGUGCUAGCAAGGGGGGACGGGAAGAGGUCAAAGAUGGACCAGAGAACAAACUGAACACAGCAACCUUCAAGGAUGCAGAACCAAGUUUCCACCGUGAUGAAAGUUUGAAUAAUUCAAAAGAUGCAGACCCAAUGAGAGAAGAGGCCACAUUGAUGGCCAAAUAGCAACAGGGACAGUCUAUGGAGGCAACAAAACAAAGCAAAGAGAUAGGGGGAAAGAAGAUAGCUAUAGCACAAUUAAAAUACUAUGCACCUCAGACUUUAGGGCAACCAGAAGAGACAGGGCAAGAUAGUAUGAUAGAUGAGGUCGACCAGCUAGCAUGGGCAAUGGGAAAGCAUAGGAAAGAUGAAACUGGGUAGAAACAUGUGCAAGGUCUUCAACAGGAAAUGGGGCCCAGAUAGAUGAGGACCAGACAAAUGGUCAUAACCAAG